CAAGCUCUUCAAUUAUAAAUAAGAGUGUGGAGUUCUCGCUUUUGCUUCAAACAAUGGCUCACACAAAACAAUUUGAACACCUCAAAAUACAAUUAGAAGCUAUAAAAUCAGCUACCAACAACUUCGCUGAUUGCAUCGGGAGAGGAGGAUUCGGGAAAGUAUAUAAGGGAAAGAUUGUCAGUUUUUAUGGGCAAUCCAUGGUUGCUUUGAAGCGUUUAGAUCGCAGAUUCGGGCAAGGAGAUCCCGAAUUUUGGAAAGAGAUCAUGAUGCUCUCUAUUUACAAACAUGAAAAUAUUGUCUCUCUCUUAGGGUUUUGUGAUGAUCAUGGCGAGAAGAUCCUCGUGUAUGAGUAUGUACCUAACAAAAGCCUUGAUUAUUACCUCAACAAUAAUGAUCUAAGAUGGGUAAGACGCCUUAAGAUAUGCAUUGGGGCGGCUCGAGGAUUGGCGUACCUUCACGGUGCAUCUGAAACCCAACAAAGAGUAUUUCAUCGUGAUAUCAAAAGUUCAAAUAUUUUAUUAGAUGAAAAUUGGAACGCCAAGAUAUCAGAUUUUGGUCUCUCCAAGUUUGGUCCUACCAAUCAGGAAUACACAUUUCUUUUCUCGAACCCUGUAGGUACACCUGGGUAUUGUGAUCCGCUUUACGCAGAGACCGGGUAUUUAACAAAAGAGUCAGACGUUUACUCUUUUGGCGUUGUGUUGUUUGAAGUAUUGUGUGGGAGGUUGAGCUUCCACAACAAAAAUGGAUCUUUAGUAGCAUUGGCGCGAUAGUCCUACCAACAGAAGACGAUAAACGAAAUUGUGUAUGGUAAUAUAAAGGACGAAAUAAAUCCUGAUUCCUUGCAGGCGUUUGCUAAAAUAGCAUACCAAUGUUUAAACAGAGAGCGUGAGGAUCGUCCACUAAUGAGCGACAUUGUGAGGGAACUUGAAACUGCACUUGAAUAUCAAGUAGGCCUCUUUCAUUUUUGUGUCAUGUAUAAUUGGAAGAAAAGCUAGUGCCAAAACUAUUUUUCUUUUUUUUUUUUUUUUUUUUGCUUCAGGAGCCAGUUGCAAAGAGUUGUUUAUCGCCAGAGCCUAGCGAGACCGAGAUGUUGGAAUUGGACCGCGGAGGGUUGCUUGUGGUUACAAUCCAUGAAGGAAGUGAUAUUAAAGUUAAAGCAAAACAUCCAUACAUCGACCUGCGUAUCGGACUUGACUAUAGAAAAACCGAGGUUUGUGUUAAUUGUGUACUUAUUUGUAUUUCAAAUUAAGAGACCAAAUUAUAAUUUGUGGAUUGUAGACCAUGAACAACCGUCAACAUCACGUAUGGGAAGAAACGUUUAAGUUUACAGUAGAGAAUCCUGCUAAAGCAACAUUGCAUUUGGAACUUUGUUCUUCCUCAUGGAGAGAAUCAUUUAGUUUAGCAUACCAGGGUUCAAGUUUAGUGGAUAUAAGUGUUGCGGAUGUGGUAAAACAAAAACAUAUGGACAACGUGUACGACAUUGCAAACGGUCGAAUUCGGGUGGAGUUGCGAUGGGAACCUUCAACAAUGGCGAUGAAGAAAACACCAAAAUUUAUACAAUUGAUGACUUCACUUUACAAUAUAAGUGCUAAUUGAUUUCAUUUUGAACUUUGUUCUUGUUAUAACUUAUAAAGAAUAAUUAUGUAUGUUUUUCAGUUACAUGUCAAUUAUAUAUGUGUUUAACCUGUAAUAUAUAUUCAUAAUAAGUUUUCAUGA